UGCCUAACACAUGCAAGUCGAACGAGAAAACAGGGGCAACCUUGUAAGUAAAGUGGCAGACGGGUGAGUAACACGUGAACAACCUACACUUGAGUGUGGAAUAACCCCGCGAAAGCGGGGCUAAUACCGCAUAACAUCCCCUGGCCGCAUGACCGAGGGAUCAAGGGCGAAAGCCGCUUAAGUAGGGGUUCGCGCCUGAUUAGCUAGUUGGUGAGGUAACGGCUCACCAAGGCAACGAUCAGUAGCCGGCCUGAGAGGGCGAACGGCACACUGGAACUGAGACACGGUCCAGACUCCUACGGGAGGCAGCAGUGGGGAAUUUUGCGCAAUGGGCGAAAGCCCUGACGCAGCAACGCCGCGUGGAGGAUGAAGGUUCUCGGAUCGUAAACUCCUGUCAGAGGGGACGAAAGCCCUAACGGGUUUGACUGUACCCCCUGAGGAAGCCACGGCUAACUCCGUGCCAGCAGCCGCGGUA
rnacentral:rRNA from 1 species